rnacentral:lncRNA from 1 species
UUUACCACUUCUGGAGGAAUAUUGAUCCAUAGUUUAAAUGUGCAAUCUGGCUCCAGAUGUUUAUACUCAAUUACUCAUGUGUACAGAGGUGCAUUUUUUAAAAGAACAAAUGACAAUCACAAGGAUAUUAUCCAACUAAGAUCAAAGAAUAAGUUGUUACGAUAUAGAAAAAAUAAGGGAAAUCACAAGGAGAUUUCAUUAUGUUUCUUGUGGAAAUGGAAAUUCGCUCCUUUUUUGUUGUUCGAGGGUAAGCCCAGAGAUAAAUUCACUGGUUUUGUAUCCUGAGGUGAAUCUAUCAAAUAUAUGCUGUAGGUAGUAAAAGUAGGUUUGUUUUCAAAAUUUCUUAACUACUAUUUGUGUCCUUGUUUAGUGUAAGCCUUCCUAUCCAUCUCUGCCAUGAUGCUUUAUUAUUUUUUGUCAGAACCGCUCUUUCUGUAUCCACUCAUUUGACACAAUUUAUUCUCAAAAUCUAAUCUUAAUUGCUUGUCAGGGACAAAAAUCCCAAGAGAGUACCAACAUUCCAUAACAGUUUGUAAGCAUUGGAGAAUUCGAGUGUUUGUUCUGUUACUGAAAACUCCCCAUAGAAUUGGAAGUUAAAUUUCUUGGAGGAAAAUGCAGGUGACUUUAUCAUGAAUCACUAAAUUUAUGCACUUCAUUACAGAGAAAACAAGGAUAUUAUUAAAAAUGUAGUUAUUAUUAUUAAAAUUAUUAAUUUUCUCUAGAACUUGAAUUAGUAGCAUUUUUAAAAAUCAGCUGUUCUAUUUACUAUUUCUGAUCAAGUCAUUUUAUAUUAUAAAUACAGACAAUGUAUAAAUUUCCUCUUUAAAAGACCAUAAUAUGUCAAAAUAAUAAAUAAGCACCUAGAUUUCAUUGGUGGCCAAAUUUUAUGCAAUCUCUCUCAAGAGUAUUUUUGUCUUUCUAUCCCAGGAACCCAGCUAUAUUUUAAACCAAGUACCAAAGCCACCUACACAAACCACCUGCUCAUAACCAGGUCCCCAGGCUCAGCUCUCUCCUCCUUUUCUGGCCAAGCAGCUAUCUUAUAUGUCUUGCUACGAUCAAUAAACAUAUCUGUUGUCAUUAUCAAGAACACAUAUUCCUUCUUGGCCCUAAACUAGAUAUCAAAGAAUAGAUUAUGCAAAACAGUGAUAUUCUUGAGUCUAUUCACAGUUCAGAAUCAUCACUUUAGUCAGUCAAGACUUUCCCUUCUCCUCUCAGGAUCAUGGACAUACUGACACAGCUGUUCAAGAAACACUAUCCUUACCUUUGCUGUCUGAUCCUUUUAUGAUUUAUGGUUUGGGAUUUCAGCUCUGAUGUCGUUCAUUAAUUCCUUUAUUCUAGUCACUUGUUCAGUUAAGAAAACCAUUUCCAGUGUCCUCUAUGUACCAAACACUAUCAUGGUUCCUGAAACCUUAGUAGGCCCAAUUGCAGUUUUCAAACUUAUGUUAUUAUAAUGACACAGUACCUGGCCCUCAGGAUCCCAUCCUCAGAUAAUAUAGAAAACUUUUAAAAACAAACUUUGCAUGGCAUCAUUCUGAGUUAGCUCUAUUGUACGUCAAUAUAAUCUUACUGGCCUCUUUAAUAGCAGAACCAGAACUUCUUCCUCUAUUCCUAUGGCCACUAAGGGUAAAUUCUUAGGGUAAAGUACAGAAGAGAAAAACAAAUCUGGUUCAAAAAUAUUAGGAGAUUUUAAUGAUUUGUAUUUACUGGUAUAAAAUAGUUUAUUUUGUAUAAACUAGUAGCAAAUUGAUUCCUAGACAAUGUUAAUUCCAAGUAGGAAAUUAUCAUUAAAAUUGUUUAACUUUAAUUUUAACUAUCAAAACAUCUUCUUCAAUGCCCUCCUCAUCCUUUCUUCCUGUCACCAUAACAACCAAUAUUCUAUAAUAAGAUAUUAGCAGCCUUAAGGAAAAAAGAUAUAGAAAAGCCUUCAUAUGUGUGUACGGAAUAUCUCUUCCCUGUCCUUCUUGAGAGAAGACAAAUGUAUAAAAUGAAAAUGCAAAAGUACUGAACAAAGACAAUGAGAAAUAUAUUGAUAGUUAAGAAAGUUAAGCUUAAGGUUUGAGUGCUUUAUAUAUUACUAUAUUUUGUCAUAUCCAUUCUGCGUGGCAUUUUAUAAUACAGCAAAAUGAGGCACAGAAAAAAGAACUAAAUAGGUCGGAAAAUACAGGUAACGAAUGACAAAGAGAGAAUCAAGCAUAGGCACUUUGACUCUAGGCAAGAUGUUUUUAACCAUUACGCCAACCUCUCUGCUAAGGCCCAUUUAUUCAUUCAAUAUGUGCCACUUGCAUUUAUUCAGAAAACAUGUAUUAGGCAAUGGAAAUAUGGCUGAGAAUAAAAGGCAUUUUGCAAACAAAUUUAAAAAAACAAAACAAAACAACUCAUUGUGUGUCCAGAAUUGGUGGGUUCUUGGUCUCACUGACUUCAAGAAUGAAGCCGCGGACCCUCGCCGUGAGUGUUACAGCUCUUAAGGUGGCGCGUCUGGAGUCUGUCCCUUCUGAUGUUCAGAUGUGUUCGGAGUUUCUUCCUUCUGGUGGGUUCGUGGUCUCGCUGGCUCAGGAGUGAAGCUGCAGACCUUCGCGGUGAGUGUUACAGCUCUUAAGGCCGCGCGUCUGGGGUUGUUCGUUCCUCCCGGUGGGCUCGUGGUCUCCCUGGGCUCAGGAGUGAAGCUGCAGAUCUUCGCGGUGAGUGUUACAGCUCAUAAAAGCAGCGUGGACCCAAAGAGUGAGCAGUAGCAAGAUUUAUUGCAAAGAGCGAAAGAACAAAGCUUCCGCAGUGUGGAAGGGAACCCCAGCAGGUU